ACUCUAGUUGCCACAACUCAACUUAGUCAUGCCACAACCUGUUAGCCUAUUGUUUGUUAGACUACCACAUAUUAGGUUGCCAAAGAAAGUCCGGCAGCGUCAUAGCUUUUUGGGCCAAACUUGUGGCGAGGAAAUCGAUCGCCUCGCUUGCGGCGUGAAGCGCGUGAGAGCGUUAAAGCUGAUGUUAUGGUCACCUUCUGUAUGGUGUGUGGCGCGAAGCACCAAAGAAAAUCCAGGAAGGUUCCAAAAUUCUGGCGUCAAACA
rnacentral:lncRNA from 1 species